CGCCCGGGCCCCGCGGCUGCCGAUGGCGGCGAGGGGCGGUGCGGGGCGGGCGGGCCGCCUGCCUCCCCUCCCGUCACCCCGCCAGGGCCGCCCGGCCGCCUCCCUGCCUCCCUCCGCUGCCUGCCGGGACCCUCGGUGCUGGGCCGGCCGAGCCCGAGCUGGAUCCGCGGAGCAGCAGCCGCCGUGGCCAGGUCCCAUGAUGACAGCUCUCUUGAGAGGCAGCCAGUUUCCGCAGAAAACUUGUUUCAGCACCGCAGAUACUUGAAGUCUGGAAAGAAAAAAGAUUUCCUGAUGAUUAGCAAAGUUCAUUUAUGAGAUUGGAAAUAACUGCGGUAUCAAGCAUCCGUCUGGAUGCAGAGGUCUUUUCACAGCGGAUAUUCGGCAUUGGUAAACGGAUUUGCGGAUUUGCAUGGGGUAAAAAUGGAGGCAGAAAUAAACUUCUGAAAUUGAAUCUCAGUCCAGAAAUGAUGGCUUCCCAGCUGUAUACACAUGCUUUCAAUAUCUCCCCAAUAGAGACUAGGAGACUGUGUAUAAAUGGAACACCAUGGAUUUGGCAUCUUCUGGAAGAAUGUGUUGAGAAUGCGUGGGAGUACUGGAGCGUUGUCAUAGGACUGAUUUCCAUUGUCUGUUUUCUGUUUGCUGCACUACCUCAAAUUUACGUUGCCUGUCAGAAUGGAAAAGUGGAUCAAGCGCUGUCUUUGGGCUUUCUGCUGUGUUGGAUAGCUGGAGAUCUUACAAAUUUUAUAGGCUGCUAUUUAACAAAUCAACUACCAAUUCAGACCAUCACUGCCAUCUCUUAUGUUAAUAUGGAUAUAAUCAUGAUUUCACAAUAUGUAUACUAUAAGCUCAAGAAUCAGAAGAUGACGAAAUGCAGCAAAAACCUGAAGAAUUUCUGUGUAACCUGGAUCUUGGUGUGUAUAGCCCUGUGCAUCGUUCUGCUCUGCCAGCUGCUAGUAAGAAACCAAGACCAGAGUUCAGUACUGGAAAGAAGUAAUACUUCCCUUGAUAUGAUUGAAAUGUCAGGCUUCAUUUGUGGCUAUAUAUCUUGUGUGUUUUACUUGGGAAGUAGAUUUCCUCAGCUUUAUAAAAAUUUUCGGAGAAGAUCAACAGAAGGCACCUCUUACCUGCUGUUUGCAUUAGCCAUGCUGGGAAACUGUACGUAUGGACUGAGCCUUGUUUUAAAGAUGCCUGCUACCACAUCCUUCCAAGCUCUCUACUUUUUACACCAUCUUCCGUGGCUCAUUGGGAGCUUUGGAGUUUUGUUUCUAGACAUUUUUAUGCAUUGAAACACUGAGUGCCUCUGCAAACCAUCAGCUACGCUCACUGAGUCGUGCUAAGAGCUGCCCUACUACUACACAGUUACAUAGGUGACUGUGCAGUUCCUUCUGUAUCGUCAGCACGAGGAAGGGCAGCCCAGCGUGGUGGCGCUGGAAGUGGAACCGCUGCUCCUGGGCGAGGAGACUGCCUAGUGCGGGGUCGGGGUCGGCUCCUGCCUCCCGUGCACUUUGCUCUUGGCUGACUUCAACAAACAGUUGAGAUUGGAUGUGCUGAGGGACCACAUUUGUUACUUUAUUUAUUUUGUCAUUGAUUUGUCAUUACUUAUUUGAAAAGGAUAUGAAAAUAAACAUUUAAUACUGUAUUUCAGUAUGAUAUCAAGUCUUUUCUCCUCAUUUUUUCCCCUCCCCUACAUUUUAGGCUGUUUCUCCCUAUCAUGAUAGGGAAUCACAGCAGUGACUGCUUUAGAAGUAUUUAUUUGAUGUCGUGAUACAAUUCAUAUCACGAGGUGACUUAUUUUUAGAUGAAAAUCUACAUCUAGAUAAGGCUGUUUAAAAAAAAAAUGCAGGAUCCAUUGUUGCGCUUUUACAUCACUCUUGUAAGCUGGGGGGAUCCUCAUGUACAGCUCGUUGUAAAGUAUUAUUGUGCUUUAUAUUGUUCAGUUAAUUAAAACAUUUAUUCAUCAAUA